UUAUAUGUGAUGAUUGUGUCUUGGAAAACGUGGCUUGUAGAACAUGCCGCCUGAUGGGUUACAUCAGGACCGCGUGCGCACCGGUAAUGAUCAUGGACAUGUAAUAAGAUUUUCAUGGGUUUGCCCUGGUUGAGCAUGGCUCUCUGGGCUGAUUUGUGUAAAUUGCCGGAGGUAAGGUCCCUGGUCGAGCAUUGCUCUCGGGGCGCCGGCUUAUUUGGAUACUUAAGUGACCAGACUGGAGGUAAGGUCCCUGGUCGAGCAUUGCUCUCGGGGCGCCAGUCUUAUUGGAUUAAGAGAGCCGAAUGGCUACUAGAUUUCUUAUUUGGAUAUUUAAGUGACCAGACUGGAGGUAAGGUUCCUGGUCGAGCAUUGCUCUCGGGGCGCCA
rnacentral:lncRNA from 1 species